UGUCUCUUACUCUCCCCUUCCUCUCUUUACGGUUACCCACCUCCCAAACGACACCUUCAUUCAGAUUUCAAUUUCCUGUCUUUUAUCCUUCCCUUCCCCAAUAAUAAUUUCAAAAACCGCUCUCAUUAAAAUCCUCUCCCACUAAUUAAUUAAUUCCUCUUUCUAGAUUAUCCUGUGUUCCAAAAUUGCUAUACAGUAAUGGGAUUUUGGUUUAUGAAAAAGAUGAAGAAAAGAGGAGUGAUGGGCUUUUCAAUUGCGAAUAAUGAAGAAUUUGGUAUCUAUUCUGCCAUUGAAGAAGAAGAAUAAAAUGGUUAUGAAUAUUUUGAAUCUACAACAACGACAGUAGUCUGGCGAAGAAAGGAUGGGCGAAGAAUCGGAUCUUGACAAAGUUCGUUCUCUCACAAAUCGAAUUGAGAUUGCAAAGAUGCGGAGUAUUUUCAUUAAGAACAGUAUAAUGGAAAGCACUUCAUCAAAGUAAUCAAUCCCAUUGUUAUUCAUGGACUUUUAUAGUUGUAUGGCUGGGUUUUGUUGUUGAAUCAGGCAAGUUCUAUAUGAAAUUAAUAAUCGUCUUUUUCAAUUGCUUUUUUGCCAAAUUUUGUUGAAGUAAUGAAAAGGUUGUUGUUGAAAUCAAUUAUAAAAUGGACAUCUGACAUAGAAAUAAGAAAUGUUAAUGUCGGCCUCUUUUGGUCAUUCCGUGGGUGUAACCACGACGGCUCCUAUCUUAGAUGACGUUGGGUACAAACGAAUCAGUAUAUGUUCUGGGUAUUAUUAGUUUACCGAUUAUUGGUUUAAUUGAUUUGUUGCCAUUUAUUUUUUUUUCAAAUGAAAAAUAAUAAUUGAUUGUAGGUGAAGAGAAAUAGCGACGUUUCAAUGUGUAAAAUAUUUGGGUUAAAUUGUUUAAAUAACUGAAAAGGGUAACUGAUAACUGUUCAUCCAAAUGUUCUCAAAAUAAUUGCCUAUAUAAGGAUUUAUGCACUCAACUUAAUACACAUUAUGUCAUUAGAAAUCUGAAAAUUUUAGUUACUCCAUUGUUCACCGUUAACGAUAAGUAACUCAAUCGUAUGUGCUUCAUGUCUCAUUUGUAAUCGGUUUUCUGAAUUUCAAGUAAUUUUCUCAAAAUUCUCGAACUUUAUUGUUGAUAGGAGAAUUUUGUACAUAUCCACUGGGUUUAUUUCUUAAUUUGUUCAUAAUGUAUUUUAAUAUUUUCUGUAAACUUUAAUUUGUUGUCCAGACAAUUUCAACAAGUGUGAUUUUGAUAUCCCAUAAAUUGUUUUCAUCUCAAACUUAAAUGAUAGCCAUGGUCUUUUAUUGGAAAUAUAAAUAUAAAUAAUUUAUCAAAUUUGGUUGUAAUUUUUGAAACUUCUUGUGUUCUCUUCUAUGAUU